rnacentral:rRNA from 1 species
CCUACGGGAGGCAGCAGUGAGGAAUAUUGGUCAAUGGGCGUAAGCCUGAACCAGCCAAGUCGCGUGAGGGAUGAAGGUUCUAUGGAUUGUAAACCUCUUUUAUAAGGGAAUAAAGUGCGGGACGUGUCCCGUUUUGUAUGUACCGUAUGAAUAAGGAUCGGCUAACUCCGUGCCAGCAGCCGCGGUAAUACGGAGGAUCCGAGCGUUAUCCGGAUUUAUUGGGUUUAAAGGGUGCGUAGGCGGCAUUUUAAGUCAGCGGUGAAAGUCUGUGGCUCAACCAUAGAAUUGCCGUUGAAACUGGGAGGCUUGAGUGUGUGUGAGGCAGGCGGAAUGCGUGGUGUAGCGGUGAAAUGCUUAGAUAUCACGCAGAACCCCGAUUGCGAAGGCAGCCUGCGGAGCCAUGACUGACGCUGAUGCACGAAAGCGUGGGGAUCAAACAGGAUUAGAUACCCCAGUAGUC